AUUGAACGCUGGCGGCAGGCCUAACACAUGCAAGUCGAGCGGCAGCGACUUAACUGAACCUUCGGGGAACGUUAAGGGCGGCGAGCGGCGGACGGGUGAGUAAUGCCUGGGAAUAUGCCCUGAUGUGGGGAUAACUAUUGGAAACGAUAGCUAAUACCGCAUAAUCUCUUCGGAGCAAAGAGGGGGGACCUUCGGGCCUCUCGCGUCAGGAUUAGCCCAGGUGGGAUUAGCUUGUUGGUGAGGUAAUGGCUCACCAAGGCAACGAUCCCUAGCUGGUCUGAGAGGAUGAUCAGCCACACUGGAACUGAGACACGGUCCAGACUCCUACGGGAGGCAGCAGUGGGGAAUAUUGCACAAUGGGGGAAACCCUGAUGCAGCCAUGCCGCGUGUGUGAAGAAGGCCUUUCGGGUUUGUAAAAGCACUUUCAGUAGGGAGGAAGGUAGUGUAGUUAACACCUGCAUUAUUUGACGUUA
rnacentral:rRNA from 1 species